rnacentral:lncRNA from 1 species
CCUUCCUCCAUCCUGCCCGCCCUCCCCAAGCCUCCUUUGGGGGCCAGAUGGCCAUGCGGCUCUGGCUGCAGGAGGUGGGGGCACAAGCCAGCUGUGUGUCUGAUUAACAGCAGGGGCUGGCAGAUGCAGCUUAUCUCGAGAGCACACAAAGGCAUGGGGUUGGACAGUUCUCCUCCCCACGGCUGUCUUCAAUUUGGAAAAAGAGCUCCUAAAUCUGGUGUCAUUUUCUCCUCCUGGCCUUUGGAUCACUCACUCCAGAAGACGACUCAUCGUCUUGCAGGUCCCCUGAGCGCCAUAGAGGUGGUCCCCUCCCAAAAAAGGAUGGAUUCUUUCCAAAGGAUGGUCUGGAACAUCCCUUUCACGUCUAAGUGUGAAGUAUAAUGAGGAAAGGCGAACGACCCGAGACUGAAUCGAACCAGGGCCAGCCAAGGCUGGCUUCCAGGGCGCUGGCCUUGGGCUGCUUGGGUCGGAGGCCUUUGUCAUCACUCAGAGUAUCAUCUUCUCCCACAGUGCACC